CCUGGCUGGAAACAUUAGAAGGGACUGAGGCAGCGAGAUGUCUAAAAUAGGAAGACGCCGGGACGGUUGGCCUGGCUGCCCGUGAUGCUGGCUGCGGGGAUCUGGCCCGGCUGUGCAGAUGGAAAAGCUAAGAGUCAAUGAGUCGCCAGCAACUCUGUGCCGUUCCUGGUUCACAUCUGGCUCAGCCCACAAGGCCCCAUCCAGCUGGAAGCUCCCGAGGGCCCUGGGCCUUGGCAAAGGCCCCAGCUUUCUUCUCACUCUCCUGGCCUGGGUCCCGGUCUGACGAUUCACACUUCCUCCUUGCCUGAGUUCCCACGAAAAGUGGCCUCCACCGCCAGCCCCCUGCCCAGGACCAGGUUACAAAAUGCAGAGACAAUGGAGGCUCCAAGCCAAAUUUCCAAUGGGCCUGCCAUUAAAUCACCAACAGCAUCUGUGUGUACAUCUGGGACAGAUGCCGGCAGCUGAGGCCACAGGACGCAUGGCUUUGUCACAUUGGGUCAGCAUUGGUGACCUUGGUGGGAGUGUUGGGGGUGGAGCUCAGACCUAAAGUUAGGACACUUGAGUCUGAAUUGCUGCCCUUUCUAGCUGCCUCAGUUUUCUUGUCUGUAAAAUGGGGAUAAUAAUGCUUAUCACACAGGGUGUGCGAUCAAGGAGAGUGAUUCACACACACAAGGAUAUCUAGCAGCAAACAGGACUCUGGCUCUGAUCAUCACUUACCUUUCUUGAGGCUGGUGGCAGCAGGACCUGUGAUCAGAACACUGUUUGUAGGUUUCUUCUCCUAGAAUCACCAACCAGGCCCAAGCAACUUUAUUCAGAGAGGAGGACAGUCAUCCAGCCCAGACAGCAUCUGCCUGGUGAAAAUGGCUCCAACUCAACCACCCAAGUGGAUGCAGCAGAGUUGUCAAAUGAAGCUAAGGGUGAGAAUGACUGAACAGGGAUAAUAUAAAGGCCAGAGGGCCAUGCUCUGGCCAGGGAGUUGGAAAGUCUGAGGCUUCCUGGCUUCUCAAUGUUGGCCCCUCCACCCUUCCUCUCUGCCUGAACCUUCUGCAGACACCCACUGAGCAGUCACUGCUGCCAGCCAAGACCCUCUCUCUGCCUCAAGGUUCCCCUGGAGACUUUCUUGUGGCACCUCUCAGCACCUCUUGCAAUUUGUAGCAUUUACUUACAGACAGGAUUACAGGUUUACCCUCUAUCUCCCCCUCCAGACUGCAAAUGCCUCCAGGGCAGAAACCUCUUAGUUUACAGAUAACAGCAACCAGAAGUGAUCUACCAGCAGGUAGCUCAUGCCUGUAAUCCUAGCACUUUGGGAGGCCAAGGUGGGAGGAUCACUUGAGGCCAGGAAUUUGAGAACAGCCUGGGCAAUAUAGCAAGGUCCUAUCUCUACAAAAAAUAAAAACUUAGUUGGA